GGGCUGCAGUCCUGAGCUCCACUCCCCCACCCCCAGCUUCUUGAUACUACAGCUCCCAUCAUUCCCUAGCCCCAGUGGCCAAUAGUGAGGGAUUAUGGGAGGCGUGGUUCAGCAUCUUCUGCAAGAGGGCUGAAGUUCACCGUCCCGCAUGACCCCUCUACCCCGAGCUGCCGGCACAGAGCAACCAGGGACCGUCUUGCUCGGAAGGGAGGAAAGAACAGACAACACAACCAAAAGAGAACAACAUUGCAAGAUGCCAGUUGUGGUCCUGAUGCUUUCCCGCAGUCUCUGGGGGGCCUUCCAAGUACAUUGUGACUGACUGUGAAGGAGGCAAGCUCCCAAGAUGAGGUAAUAUUUCCAAACCAGCAGUGCCUAACUUGCUUGACACAGACUCGAAGCCCUCGAUACUUGCUGAAAUCAAGCAAACCUCAGUUAGGUUUCGUUUCUUUCAGUUAGCAGAAUCCAUAUUUAGCAUGAGAACCGCAAGCGCUGAAGGGGCAUGAUAGAGACCAGACUGACAUACUGCUUGCACAAGCUGAUUUAUGACCUAACGCCAGACCCUUUCCCAGACGAAAGGGGGAACUAACUUGAGUUAUGACCUAUGACAUAUAACUGUUUCUUUUUCUGUAACUUGUGUAAUUGUUUUCCUAAGGAGACUUUGGUAUAUAUAAUGUGCUACCUCUGUAUCAGUCCUUUGUCCUGUCUUGAGCACGAGCCGAGACAGCACCUUGCUUCUUAAGGGCAAAUAAAACUUUGAUUCUAA